UGGGGAAUAUUGGACAAUGGGCGCAAGCCUGAUCCAGCCAUGCCGCGUGAGUGAUGACGGCCUUCGGGUUGUAAAGCUCUUUUAUCCGGGAAGAUAAUGACUGUACCGGAAGAAUAAGCCCCGGCAAACUUCGUGCCAGCAGCCGCGGUAAUACGAAGGGGGCUAGCGUUGUUCGGAUUUACUGGGCGUAAAGCGCAUGUAGGCGGCGCGUUAAGUCAGAGGUGAAAGCCUGGAGCUCAACUCCAGAACUGCCUUUGAUACUGGCGGGCUCGAGUAUGGAAGAGGUUGGUGGAACUGCGAGUGUAGAGGUGAAAUUCGUAGAUAUUCGCAAGAACACCAGUGGCGAAGGCGGCCAACUGGUCCAUUACUGACGCUGAGGUGCGAAAGCGUGGGGAGCAAACA
rnacentral:rRNA from 1 species